AAAACCUUGGUCUAUUGUGUGAUUUGAGAGCUUUGUGGAAUUCGACCCUUAAGUGCUACAAUCGAUCUCUUAUUUGAGAGAGUGGUCUUAAAGCAAUUUGACAUAUAUCACUACUUUUAGAGUAGCUAAAUAGAACUUGAUCUCACAUAAGAGAUAUACCCGCCAUAGGUAUCUGUUA
rnacentral:sRNA from 1 species